rnacentral:rRNA from 1 species
GGAUGCGAUCAUACCAGCACUAAAGCACCGGAUCCCAUCAGAACUCCGAAGUUAAGCGUGCUUGGGUGAGAGUAGUACUAGGAUGGGUGACCUCCUGGGAAGUCCUCGUGUUGCAUUCCC